UCUUGAAGUCUUAGUGGCGCAGCUAACGCACUAAGUAGACCGCCUGGGGAGUACGGCCGCAAGGUUAAAACUCAAAUGAAUUGACGGGGGCCCGCACAAGCGGUGGAGCAUGUGGUUUAAUUCGACGCAACGCGAAGAACCUUACCUGGCCUUGACAUGCAGAGAACUUUCCAGAGAUGGAUUGGUGCCUUCGGGAACUCUGACACAGGUGCUGCAUGGCCGUCGUCAGCUCGUGUCGUGAGAUGUUGGGUUAAGUCCCGUAACGAGCGCAACCCCUAUCCCUAGUUGCUAGCAGUUCGGCUGAGAACUCUAGGGAGACUGCCGGUGACAAACCGGAGGAAGGUGGGGAUGACGUCAGGUCAUCAUGGCCCUUACGGCCAGGGCUACACACGUGCUACAAUGGUGCGUACAGAGGGCUGCAAACCCGCGAGGGGGAGCUAAUCUCACAAAACGCAUCGUAGUCCGGAUCGGAGUCUGCAACUCGACUCCGUGAAGUCGGAAUCGCUAGUAAUCGCGAAUCAGAAUGUCGCGGUGAAUACGUUCCCGGGCCUUGUACACACCGCCCGUCACACCAUGGGAGUGGAUUGCACCAGAAGUGGUUAGUCUAACCUUCGGGAGGACGAU
rnacentral:rRNA from 1 species